UAUGUAACUUUGCUGUUGUACCAACAAUUAACUUGAACUUGCCAACUAUCUAAACUUAUGAUAUCAAAUAAGGUCGCCUCAUGCUUCAGUGCUCCACAACAUGCACCUGGUAUGUGAAUCCUAAUCUGCCAGAGGCGUCGCUCCUGCAACAGAGUUUUGGAAGUGCUGCUGGUCAGGCAUACUGGAUAGGUGAGGAAUAUGACAAUCGUCCACAGACUACAACUGUUGCCGAACUUUCAGCCAUCGACAAUCCACACGAGGCAGAGGCAUGUUUCCCACGCAAAAGAAUUAAGUUCAUUUUUCUUAUUGCAGUACACCGACUGAUUGCCACUUCCUUCUAAACAGGGUAACAAGUACAGAGUGACAGCAAGGAUAAAGGAAUUGGUCCCAAACGAACAGCGGUGGUAUUUGGCGUGCAGCAAAUGCAAUAGGACCACAAGGGCCUAUGGAGAUAUCUACAAAUGCUACGACCCUACGUGCACUGGCACAGGCGCCAUUCCAAGGUACAAAAUUCCUUUCCUUGCAAUUGAUCCAGAGGCUGGCUCAAGCACCGAAGACAAGCCAAUAGAAACUAUCUGCUUCGGAGUAGUUGCGGAUGAAAUGGUCGGAUUACCAGCUGACAACCUUAUUAGUCUUACCUCAAAUGGUCAGGGAUAUAUUCCUGAACAGAUCAAAAGAAUGUACGAUGCCAAGUAUGACUUAAGCCUGAGUGUGCCGAGAGGUGCUGUGCGAUUUGGAAGAACAACUUUCAGAAUUGAUGCUUUUAUGAGAAUUGAUGAGGUUGAUGAACAAGUGAUUCCUGAAGUGCCGCCGGCGGUCACCAGAGUGCCUGCUUCUGGAGCAGACAACCAACCUUCUGUUUCACUACACACCAGCCAAGGUGACACAACAAAGAAAGAUGCCUGUACACUUGCUAAGGUACGACACGGGCUCAAUUCAGCACAGCUAUGAUAUGCCUGCUGUCUUUGUAAACUCAUAAUGGAUUAAUGGCCUAUAUAGGAUGCCCUGGACAGUGCUGGAAUGCUGCCGCCUAACAUGCCCGCGGCACCCAAGGUCCACCGUCCUUCCAGACUCCCGCUCCUAUGGUUUUCAUGGUCAGUGAGCUCACCUCCAGUUGCUAAAUUCAUAACCAAUGCAGGAAAAGCAUGUCAUUGCUCAGACCAGUACAGGAGGGGGCCUUGAGGAUAGUGAUUGUGAGAGCAGGUGACUUCUUUCCCAUCUCAUUUGUAGAAUACUUACCAUCUGAGAAAAGCUCUUAAUUGAUUUGUGCUUUUGUUUUUCAGCAUGCCUUCGGACAAGAAGCCACGUGCAGCUAGGAAACUAUCCAUGACCUUCAAUGAAGACGAUGAGUAGUCAAGCUACCGUGCUAAUGUAGAGCAAUGCUACAGCUGAGAGUAGUGUGUAACCCAUGAACUAAAUUGUAUGUGAACCUUGUGAGCCAAACUCAGAUGGCCAGCAACUCAACCUAUCUGAUAUGCUGCCGUAGUGCCUCUUUUGCGCUCAACUAUCUGUAGCAUUAUAUGCCAGGACUGCAGUGUUUGUAAUAUGGAUUUAGAAUUUGA